UACAGAGGGGGCAAGCGUUGUUCGGAAUUACUGGGCGUAAAGCGUGCGUAGGCGGCCAACUAAGUCAGACGUGAAAUCCCUCGGCUUAACCGGGGAACUGCGUCUGAUACUGGAUGGCUUGAGUUUGGGAGAGGGAUGCGGAAUUCCAGGUGUAGCGGUGAAAUGCGUAGAUAUCUGGAGGAACACCGGUGGCGAAGGCGGCAUCCUGGACCAACACUGACGCUGAUGAGCGAAAGCCAGGGGAGCAAACGGG
rnacentral:rRNA from 1 species